CGGCCGCGGUACUCUGACCGUGCAAAGGUAGCAUAAUCAUUUGCCUCUUAAUUAGAGGCUGGAAUGAAAGGACAAACGAAAUUCCAACUGUAUCAUUCUUACCCUAUAAAAAUUAUACUCCAGGUGAAGAUACCUGGAUUCUAUCGAAAGACAAGAAGACCCUAUAGAGUUUUAGUUCUUUACUUCUCCCUCACUGAAAGAACUUUGGUUGGGGCGACCUAGGAACUUUCUAACAUCCUUUCCUUCAAAAGAACUAUAAUUCCUAUUAACGAUCCUAUCUCUAGACUCCAAAAUAAACUACCUUAGGGAUAACAGGCUUAUCUUCCUAGAGAGCUCAAAUUGACAGGAAGGUCUGGCACCUCGAUGUUGGCUUAGAGUAACCCAAUAACGCAAAAGUUAUUUAAGGUCGGUUUGUUCAACCGUUAAACCUCUACGUGAU
rnacentral:rRNA from 1 species